GGGCGGAUGGCGGAACUGGCAGACGCGCGAGACUUAGGAUCUCGUGGGUAAAACCGUAGAGGUUCAAAUCCUCUUCCGCCCA
rnacentral:tRNA from 1 species